ACCAUAACCUUCUUCCGACUGUACUCUCCCACUACGCCCCCUCCUCCAGUACUCCUCUCUUCCCACCGCCACCGCCACCGCCACUGCCACCACCGUCGCCCAUGCCUUGCUGCUUCCUCUCCUUCUCCUUCCCAGCGUUCUUGUCCUAAAAAAGGCAUUCCGACAUUAGAAGAAAGUGAACUACAGUCGCGUUUCUUAGAAGGUCUUGAAUUCUGCGUGCAAAUCAACUACUUAGCUUUUGGUAAGUUCUGUUUACUUCAUUUUGCGGGUUUUGCAUUUUUGGUUCUGUUUGAACAGCUGAAAAAGUAAUCUAGACUAUUCUGAAUAUCUCUUUGGACUCUUUAAUCAAGAAUCUUUGCAUCAUUAAACGAGGGUUGUUCUUUCUCGUAUAGGCUGGCAGUUGAUAAAAUUUCUCAAUUUUUCAUCUUAAUGCUACAAACAGAAGUUGAAAUGGUUCUUUUUUAGUCCUUUUUUAUAUGAUCUUUCUACUUUCCUCAUUAAUUCUAAGCAGAGGGCUUUCCUAUAAUCCCUAUCCCUUCUCUGGAAGCAGGGGUGGCAUCUUUCCACUGGACCCCAGCUUUUGGAACCCUUUUUCCUUGAACUUUAUGUACAUCCUCUUCUUCUUCUCCCGCAAAGAAAUAACAAAAAAAAAAAAAAAAAAAAAAAAAAAA